GACGAACGCUGGCGGCGUGCUUAACACAUGCAAGUCGAACGGAAAGGCCCCUUUGGGGGUACUCGAGUGGCGAACGGGUGAGUAACACGUGAGUAACCUGCCCUUGACUUCGGGAUAACUUCAGGAAACUGGGGCUAAUACCGGAUAGGAAUCCUUGCUGCAUGGUGGGGGUUGGAGAGCUUCGGCGGUUUUGGAUGGACUCGCGGCUUAUCAGCUUGUUGGUGGGGUAGUGGCUUACCAAGGCUUUGACGGGUAGCCGGCCUGAGAGGGCGACCGGCCACAUUGGGACUGAGAUACGGCCCAGACUCCUACGGGAGGCAGCAGUGGGGAAUAUUGCACAAUGGGCGGAAGCCUGAUGCAGCAACGCCGCGUGCGGGAGGACGGCCUUCGGGUUGUAAACCGCUUUCAGCAGGGGCGAAGCUUGUGGUGACGGUACCUGCAGAAGAAGCACCGGCUAACUACGUG
rnacentral:rRNA from 1 species